rnacentral:rRNA from 1 species
UCCAGACUCCUACGGGAGGCAGCAGUGAGGAAUAUUGGUCAAUGGGCGAGAGCCUGAACCAGCCAAGUCGCGUGAGGGAAGACGGUCCUAUGGAUUGUAAACCUCUUUUGUCGGGGAGCAAAAAGGCCUCGUGAGGCCACAAGUGAGAGUGCCCGAAGAAAAAGCAUCGGCUAACUACGUGCCAGCAGCCGCGGUAAUACGUAGGGAGCAAGCGUUGUCCGGAAUUACUGGGUGUAAAGGGAGCGUAGGCGGGAUGGCAAGUUGGGUGUUAAAUCUACCGGCUCAACUGGUAGUCGCACUCAAAACUGCUAUUCUUGAGUGAAGUAGAGGCAGGCGGAAUUCCUAGUGUAGCGGUGAAAUGCGUAGAUAUUAGGAGGAACACCAGUGGCGAAGGCGGCCUGCUGGGCUUUUACUGACGCUGAGGCUCGAAAGUGUGGGGAGCAAACAGGAUUAGAUACCCUAGUA